ACCAAUGAGGGUUCCUACGUAACGGCGAGUGAGCGGCAAAAGCUCAAAUUUGAAAUCUAGCACUUUCAGUGUUCGAGUUGUAAUUUGAAGAAGGUAACUUUGGAAUUGGCUCUUGUCUAUGUUCCUUGGAACAGGACGUCACAGAGGGUGAGAAUCCCGUGCGAUGAGAUGUCCAAUUCUAUGUAAAGUGCUUUCGAAGAGUCGAGUUGUUUGGGAAUGCAGCUCUAAGUGGGUGGUAAAUUCCAUCUAAAGCUAAAUAUUGGCGAGAGACCGAUAGCGAACAAGUACAGUGAUGGAAAGAUGAAAAGAACUUUGAAAAGAGAGUGAAAAAGUACGUGAAAUUGUUGAAAGGGAAGGGCUUGAGAUCAGACUUGGUAUUUUGUGUUCCUUAUUCUUUUUGGAUUUGGUUCCUCACAGCUUACCGGGCCAGCAUCGGUUUGGAUGGUAGGAUAAUGACAUUGGAAUGUAGCUUUGCUUCGGUGAAGUGUUAUAGACUUUGUUGAUACUGCCUAUCUAGACCGAGGACUGCGUCUUUGACUAGGAUGCUGGCGUAAUGAUCUUAAGCCGCCCGUCUUGAACACGGACCAA
rnacentral:rRNA from 1 species